AUUUCUUAUGGCAGAUAAAUGCGUUAGAUUUAGAAUCUAUUUAUUCAAAUUUCCUCA
rnacentral:tRNA from 1 species